UUUUGCAUAAUGAGCCUGCGAGUUGUGGUGUCUGGCAAGGUUAAGCAAACGCGAAGCCGUAGCGAAAGCGAGUCUGAAUAGGGCGCUUAGUCAGAUGCUGCAGACCCGAAACGAAGUGAUCUAUCCAUGAGCAAGUUGAAGCUAGUGUAAGAACUAGUGGAGGACUGAACCCAUAGGCGUUGAAAAGCCCCGGGAUGACUUGUGGAUAGGGGUGAAAGGCCAAUCAAACUUCGUGAUAGCUGGUUCUCUCCGAAAUAUAUUUAGGUAUAGCGUUGUGUCGUAAUAUAAGGGGGUAGAGCACUGAAUGGGCUAGGGCAUACACCAAUGUACCAAACCCUAUCAAACUCCGAAUACCUUAUAUGUAAUCACAGCAGUCAGGCGGCGAGUGAUAAAAUCCGUCGUCAAGAGGGAAACAACCCAGACUACCAGCUAAGGUCCCUAAAUCUUACUUAAGUGGAAAACGAUGUGAAGUUACUUAAACAACCAGGAGGUUGGCUUAGAAGCAGCCAUCCUUUAAAGAAAGCGUAAUAGCUCACUGGUCUAGUGAUUUUGCGCGGAAAAUAUAACGGGGCUAAAGU
rnacentral:rRNA from 2 species